AACUCGGGGACUGCAGCUCCCUGAUGAGCCCCAAAAAGGGCGAAACCGGUC
rnacentral:hammerhead_ribozyme from 13 species